AGCAGCCGCGGUAAUUCCAGCUCCAAUAGCGUAUAUUAAAGUUGUUGCAGUUAAAAAGCUCGUAGUUGAAUUUCGGGGUUAGUAGGUUGGUCAUGCCUCUGGUAUGUACUGGUCUCACUGAUUCCUCCUUCCUUAUGAACCGUAAUGCCAUUAAUUUGGUGUUGCGGGGAAUUUGGACUGUUACUUUGAAAAAAUUAGAGUGUUUAAAGCAAGCUAACGCUUGAAUACAUUAGCAUGGAAUAAUGAAAUAGGACGUUCGAUCUUAUUUUGUUGGUUUCUAGGAUUGACGUAAUGAUUAAUAGGGAUAGUUGGGGGCAUUAGUAUUCAAUUGUCAGAGGUGAAAUUCUUGGAUUUAUUGAAGACUAACUACUGCGAAAGCAUUUGCCAAGGAUGUUUUCAUUAAUCAAGAACGAAAGUUAGGGGAUCGAAGACGAUCAGAUACCGUCGUAGUCUUAACCAUAAACUAUGCCGACUAGGGAUCGGAUGAUGUUAAUUUUUAAUGACUCAUUCGGCGCCUUAC
rnacentral:rRNA from 1 species